rnacentral:lncRNA from 1 species
AUGAUGGGGAGAAACAGAGCCAAACUGAUGUGUAGCACUCAAAAGCAUUUCUCAGCUCAAGAGCAAAAAUUCACUAUUGCUCCAAUGGUGGGAUCCCCAACUGUGUGGAUCCUGGUAAGAAGAGCCCCCACCCCUCCCUGGAAUCCAGGACACUGGCAUCUAACUCACUCCAGGCCAACUGGAGGGCCCUACCUGUGUCUUCAAAGCUUGAUUAAAUGAUACAUUGCAAGGCCAAUUUAGGAUUUCUUGAAAGAGGUAAUGCGGGGUGGCAUGGCAGUGUUGUCUAGUUGUAGCAGUAUUCACUAGAGGCUCUGGCAGUGGCAAUAUCCAUGGUGUUCAUGGGGUGUGACCAGACUCUUCUCAGAUUGUGACCUUGGUUUUUGCCCGUCUUCCCUGAGAUCAAACCUGCUUCUCUAGCCCUCUCAUUCAUUCUAUAAACACCUUGAUAUUCCUCUACUAGAGGCCUUUUCUGUUUCAGUUAAUCACACUUUAUCUUACUUGUACCAAGAACAUUGACAGACCUGACAAAGGGUCAUAGAUUUCUUUCCAAAGCUUUGCUUCUAUGAAAUUUCCCUCUCACAAAGGAGAUUUCUCUGUAGGAAAGCCUUUGAGGCAAUGGUUCAGGCUAUGGCAGGCAUUAGUCUGUAACUGACCUAAGAUAGGAAAGAAAAUGGGUACAAGAAUCUCAAAAAUAUAACCACUACCCAAAACACUGUGGUGGUUUAGAAAAUACUUUGCAGGUGAAACACUUCCUUCUUUUUUUAUUAUUAUUAUACUUUAAGUUCUAGGGUAUAUGUGCACAACGUGCAGGUUUGUUACAUAUGUAUACAUGUGCCAUGUUGGUGUGCUGCACCCAUUAACUCG